rnacentral:piRNA from 1 species
UAGAUGUGUCCCUCUCUGAUUUAGUUAGCCC